GAGAGAGAGAGAGAAAGAAAGAGGAGGGUGUUGUGUUGGAGCAGAGGUGGAUGAUAAGUUCCACCUUAAGUUUGCUCUAGGAGGCACUGAUGCAGGCAUAGACCUUAAGCACAGUUACUCAUCAAGUUUUUUGCCUCCUCCUGGCCCCCUAUCUCCUCUGCCUUCUCCAAGUUCAAACUUAUCAAGUUUGUUGCAGCUGACCACCCAGUUAUUAAUGGCUUUCAAAUUCUCACCCAGUCUAGCUCCACAAAUCGUUUGCUCAUUCAAAACAUGUUUAUCUUAUAUACAUGCUUCUUCUUGAACUCAGCUGAAAAAGUGUUUGACUAGAGUCAGGCAAGACGGCCUCCCUGUUGUUUGUUUUAAAACACAAACCAUAACAAAUGAACAAGAGUUGUUAUCAGAAGACAAUCUCAAGAACAGUUCUUAAGGAUUGGUUCCUGAAGACAAAUCCAAACAAAGCCUUAACCUUCAUUUUUGGACUUAGUCGAUUGCUUGAAAAAAUAUUGUUUAUAAAAAACAUUGCUCUGGAUCAAAGAUUUCUCAAUAUGAGUCUGAAUAAAGUAAUAUUAUUCUGAAAACAUGUCAAAAGUAUUUUGCUGCAAUGUCUGUCAUUAUGUCUUUGUCUAAGAACAUGUUCAAUAUUUUUAAAAUUCAUGAAGUUUCAAGUUAUGGUUGAUGACCUACCUCUCAAGUUCUCUAUGUAAGUAUUAUAAGAAACAUCACUAAUUCUGGUGAAAAGUAGGCCAAACAAAGACAAAAUAAAGUAAUGCAUCGUGCUUGAGAGUGUGUCUCAUCCACAUUUUCAUCAAGAUCUAUAAGUCUAGCACAUCUGAACCAGAAAAACAUAGUUUAAAGUCGAAGCUACCAGAGUGACCAACAGAUGACAAAAGGAACCAGGCAUAUCAAAGCUUUAGUAAUCACUGGGUGCUUAUCAAGUGCCAUCAAGUACCUGAACGAAGUAAUAGAAAUUUGUUAAUAUUUUCUCCAUCUAGUGAAAGAAGGUUCAGGAAUCUAACACUACAACUCAUAUAGCUUCAAAUUAAAUCUUCUAACAAAGAACAGACUCGAUCAUGAACUCAUCAGAGAACUGUCAGGACUUACAUGCCAACUCACUGACCAAAAUAUAGUUAGAACAUUUCUCCUUGGCAGACUUUGAUUGGGUUUUAGCCAUGAGCCAACAAGGAUAAACUUCCAAUAUCUUGACUGAUAGUAUCACCAUGUUCACAGUGGUGAAUAGCGCAUUAUCAGUGGUGUGGUUAAGACAUCUCAGAUGCAUCCAAAGGUCAGCCUAGUGGUUCGGAAACAUCUAAAAGAACACAGGGAAGAUAAAUUGAAGAGAAAAGGCCAGCUAAAAGAAAUUCACAUAUGAGCUUCUCCAUUCAAAGGUGAGAAUUUGACAAUGGAAAAGCAUCACUAAAUAUCCUCCACUCUACAAUUCUGACCAUGAUCCGCAAUGUGCCUAGGUUAGUGGAAAUUGCUGUAUCCUCACCACAGUCUCCUUCCUAUCCAUUCAACAAGAAUUUGGCUUCCUCCCGAGUCUGCCACUAAAAGGCGUCCUGAUUAAUGUAAUACAUUGAGAAUUCAUCAAAAUUACUGGAUAUUUCCACGCAAAAAAAAUUACUCAAUUUUGUUUUCUUCUUCAUGGGCAUUAUUUCGAAACCGAAGGCUGAAUAAAAUACAUAAACACGUGAUGAGACUAAGCAAUGUUGCAACAAUCUAAACAAGAUCAAAGUGCUCCAAAACAAGAUUUUUAAAGACCAUAAAGAACCCUAACUUCCUUACCAUGACAAGAAGAACCUAUCAUUCCCAUCAUCGAUCUCAUGCCCACCUCCAUCGUAGGAGCCCCCAUCGCCCCGCCCACCGUACCCACCAUCACGGCCAACGGAGCUAUCAGAACCAUCGUCUGAAGCGGCUUGAUACCGCGCACGGAAUCGAGACCCUUUGGCCCAA
rnacentral:lncRNA from 1 species